AGAGUUUGAUCCUGGCUCAGAUUGAACGCUGGCGGCAGGCCUAACACAUGCAAGUCGAGCGGAUGAGAGGAGCUUGCUCCUUGAUUUAGCGGCGGACGGGUGAGUAAUGCCUAGGAAUCUGCCUGGUAGUGGGGGAUAACGUCCGGAAACGGGCGCUAAUACCGCAUACGUCCUACGGGAGAAAGCAGGGGACCUUCGGGCCUUGCGCUAUCAGAUGAGCCUAGGUCGGAUUAGCUAGUUGGUGAGGUAAUGGCUCACCAAGGCGACGAUCCGUAACUGGUCUGAGAGGAUGAUCAGUCACACUGGAACUGAGACACGGUCCAGACUCCUACGGGAGGCAGCAGUGGGGAAUAUUGGACAAUGGGCGAAAGCCUGAUCCAGCCAUGCCGCGUGUGUGAAGAAGGUCUUCGGAUUGUAAAGCACUUUAAGUUGGGAGGAAGGGCAUUAACCUAAUACGUUAGUGUUUUGACGUUACCGACAGAAUAAGCACCGGCUAACUUCGUGCCAGCAGCCGCGGUAAUACGAAGGGUGCAAGCGUUAAUCGGAAUUACUGGGCGUAAAGCGCGCGUAGGUGGUUCGUUAAGUUGGAUGUGAAAGCCCCGGGCUCAACCUGGGAACUGCAUCCAAAACUGGCGAGCUAGAGUACGGUAGAGGGUGGUGGAAUUUCCUGUGUAGCGGUGAAAUGCGUAGA
rnacentral:rRNA from 1 species